AGAGUUUGAUCCUGGCUCAGAUUGAACGCUAGCGGGAUGCUUUACACAUGCAAGUCGAACGGCAGCGCGAGAGAGCUUGCUCUCUUGGCGGCGAGUGGCGGACGGGUGAGUAAUAUAUCGGAACGUGCCCAGUAGCGGGGGAUAACUACUCGAAAGAGUGGCUAAUACCGCAUACGCCCUACGGGGGAAAGGGGGGGAUCGCAAGACCUCUCACUAUUGGAGCGGCCGAUAUCGGAUUAGCUAGUUGGUGGGGUAAAGGCUCACCAAGGCAACGAUCCGUAGCUGGUUUGAGAGGACGACCAGCCACACUGGGACUGAGACACGGCCCAGACUCCUACGGGAGGCAGCAGUGGGGAAUUUUGGACAAUGGGGGAAACCCUGAUCCAGCCAUCCCGCGUGUAUGAUGAAGGCCUUCGGGUUGUAAAGUACUUUUGGCAGAGAAGAAAAGGUACCUCCUAAUACGAGGUACUGCUGACGGUAUCUGCA
rnacentral:rRNA from 1 species